UACAUGCAAGUCGAGCGGACUUGAAGAGAAGCUUGCUUCUCUGAUGGUUAGCGGCGGACGGGUGAGUAACACGUAGGCAACCUGCCCUCAAGUUUGGGACAACUACCGGAAACGGUAGCUAAUACCGAAUAGUUGUUUUCUUCUCCUGAAGAGAACUGGAAAGACGGAGCAAUCUGUCACUUGGGGAUGGGCCUGCGGCGCAUUAGCUAGUUGGUGGGGUAACGGCUCACCAAGGCGACGAUGCGUAGCCGACCUGAGAGGGUGAUCGGCCACACUGGGACUGAGACACGGCCCAGACUCCUACGGGAGGCAGCAGUAGGGAAUCUUCCGCAAUGGGCGAAAGCCUGACGGAGCAAUGCCGCGUGAGUGAUGAAGGUUUUCGGAUCGUAAAGCUCUGUUGCCAGGGAAGAACGCUUGGGAGAGUAACUGCUCUCAAGGUGACGGUACCUGAGAAGAAAGCCCCGGCUAACUACGUGCCAGCAGCCGCGGUAAUACGUAGGGGGCAAGCGUUGUCCGGAAUUAUUGGGCGUAAAGCGCGCGCAGGCGGUCAUUUAAGUCUGGUGUUUAAUCCCGGGGCUCA
rnacentral:rRNA from 1 species